AACAAAUACCAACACCCAAGGCUGUCCGAGUCCCCAUGGAAACCUUUGGUAUGCCCGGCAGAGGCAAGAGCCAUAGAAUUUAGGAGAACAUUUCAAAGGGGACUGGGGUUCUCGCAAAUGGAUCCUCUACUUGGAGACACUAUCUUGAACAUGUACUAAAAAUUGGGAUGAGUGAACUAGAGGACCAGACUCAAGACAAAGGUCAUCUGAAGUCCAGAGAAAGCCCAUCAAGGCAUCCACAUCACCAUCAUCAACACUGGUCCACUUCAAGACCAAAUCAAACCAGGCAAGAGCUACUUGAAUGCCAUCAUUGCAGUACUAUGAUGGUUUCUCUUGGCUGCUGAGGAGGCCUACUAAGCGACUCAAAGACAUAUCAUGUGGAUAAGCAAGGCAAAGACAAUGCCUUCUGUCCCAGGGUCGGUGAAAUCUGUUGAUGCUGAACCCACAGAUUCUGAAGACUGACUAUGCAAAAGGAUGCUUUUACAUUCAUAGGGUGCUCAAAAAUCACCUUCAGUGAUAAAGAGCAAUGGGUCCCAGCGGCAUCACUGAGUCACAUGGAAGAGACAUCGACAUUCACCUUCGUGCCCGUCUCUGCUUUAUAUUUGCUACAGAUAAACACGUAGUUAAAAAAGAAAGUAUGGUACUCUAAGACAGCAAACCAAACCAACCAAACAAGCCAGCCAGUGCCUGCUAUCGGUAUUCUGAUCUGGGCUGCAAAAGACUGCCGGGUUUUCUACUCAUGGCCUGCUCUGCAGAGACUGUCCAGUGCCCUCUCAUCCUGCUGUACCAUUCGGGCAUUGUUUGCUGUACUGCCCAGCACAGGUCUGGUGCUUCCAUGGGCAUUGCUUUGUAACCUCCAUAGACAUAUACCCAGUAUGAAAGAGAUAAAAAGUCAUAAAACCAUUCUAGGUUUACCCAGAGAUCCGGGAAAACAUCAGCCUAGACUUAUCCUGAAAUCUAUGCUCACCCUGAACACAUUCCUCAUCCUCCCAUCUGGUUGGGUAUAUUAAAUAGCUGUGAUGGUCAAAAUAUCUCCAUAAAUCGGAUGUGAUAGUAUACACCUAUAAACCCAACACUAAGGAGGCAGAGGCAGGAGGAUCAGUAGGCCAUUCUUGGCUACGUAGGGGACUAUCUAAAAACAAACAAACAACAACAAGAAUAACCCCCCUCCCCAAAACCAAAAGCCAAUGUGAUAGGUCCCAAGCGGACCAAGCUAACUGACACGCCCUUAGCAAACAAACCCUGUCUUUCUCACUGUGUUAGCAUACUGCCUGGGUUUAAAUAAUUAAGCAGAAUUAAGCAGAGCAUUGGUCCUUUCCGUCAAUCACGGAAUGUGAGUCCUUUGUUAGAAGGCCAUCCUUAUCAUUACAUUCCAUCAAAGGGAAAUAUCAAAUGAAACGUUUUCUCAGGAAGUUUUCUCAGUUGAUAAAUGAAAGACUUACUCUCAGAAGUGGGGAAUCCCAUCUCUUUCCCUCAGAAGGAAGAAGAGUGUGGUCUCCAGCUGACCUCUCUCUGAGCCCUGGAUUGGUCUUGCCUGGGAAGACAUCAUUGGAACAUGCCUGCAGGGGAUUUAUGCCGUCUAAUUGGAGCGACGGUGACCAAGGGCGUUCCCUGGAAUGCCUGCUGCAGCGGUAGACAAUCAGAGCCCAUAACCGUCUGCAGGUAAUUAGGGGACAAUAUGAACUAGUCUAGACUUCGGAUUCAUUCUGGUUCCAGCACGCCCAGUCAAUCAAUAGGCAUUAAUCAUCCCAUGCUUAUUGCAAACG